GCCUCCCGAGUAGCUGGGACUACAGGCGCCCGCCACUGCGCCCGGCUAAUUUUUUGUAUUUUUAGUAGAGAGGGGGUUUCACCGUGGUCUCGAUCUCCUGACCUCGUGAUCCGCCCGCCUCAGCCUCCCAAAGUGCUGGGAUUACAGGCGUGAGCCACCGCGCCCGGCCAGUUCAAUGGAUUUUAAAAAUUAUUAUUCUCUAGAAAAAAGACCACGAACUUUGGAGUGGACAUCCUGAGACCUGCCUACGAAGACCAUUAGGGUAAAGAAGUCACCCCUUCACCCCAGGACCAGGAAGCCUCCAGGAUGGCAUAAGCGACCAAACAGCUGGGAGCCAAGCACAGUGCAGGGGGCUUGGGGUCGGCGGCCGGAGGCUGGGGUGGUGGCCUCCAGAAGACACUCCCCUGAUUCCUACACCGAGGGAACACACAGCAGCAAGCUAGGAAAGAAGGGGUGACCCAGCCCAACGCUGUAAACCAGGGCGCGAACCGGCGUUGAGCUGUGCAGCUGCGCCCUGGGCUCCAGUCCUGCUCUGCCGCAGACCCCACCGGAGCCAGCACCUGCCUCCCCGACCCUCGCUGGGGCGGCUGUGAGAUGAGCCCAGAGCCUUCCUGAGCCAACCCUCGCAAGGAAAGUCUGUCUGUUCACCCCACUAUCCUUGUCUUGAAGGAUGAAGAAAAGAGGGCCCCCCGGGAGGUCCCAAAAGGUGGAAUGGACAUCUGGGAUCCAAGCACAGCAAUUUCUUUAUUUUUCUUAAGCCUCUCACUAGAGGAUGAAAAUCGUUCUGCAUAAAGGCCUGGGCUUUAUG
rnacentral:lncRNA from 1 species